rnacentral:rRNA from 1 species
CCACACUAGGACUGAGAUACGGCCCAGACUCGUACGGGAGGCAGCAGUGGGGAAUAUUGGACAAUGGGGGAAACCCUGAUCCAGCCGUGCCGCGUGUGUGAUGAAGGCCUUCGGGUUGUAAAGCACUUUCGCACGUGACGAUGAUGACGGUAACGUGAGAAGAAGCCCCGGCUAACUUCGUGCCAGCAGCCGCGGUAAUACGAAGGGGGCAAGCGUUGUUCGGAAUUACUGGGCGUAAAGGGCGCGUAGGCGGUGCACUAAGUCAGGCGUGAAAGCCCUGGGCUCAACCCGGGAAUUGCGCUUGAUACUGGUGCGCUUGAAUCCAGGAGAGGUUGGUGGAAUUCCCAGUGUAGAGGUGAAAUUCGUAGAGAUUGGGAAGAACACCGGUGGCGAAGGCGGCCAACUGGACUGGUAUUGACGCUGAGGCGCGAAAGCGUGGGGAGCAAACAGGAUUAGAUACCCUGGUAGUCCACGCUGUAAACGAUGUGUGCUAGCCGUUGGGGUUCUUAGAACCUCGGUGGCGUCGCUAACGCUUUAAGCACACCGCCUGGGGAGUACGGUCGCAAGAUUAAAACUCAAAGGAAUUGACG